UACUAGAUGGCUAUUAAAAGGAUGUGAUCGCUGCCAUUCUUGAUGCUCAAGGAUGGACGUCUUGUGAAAAAAGUCAAGUUGCAAAGUGUUUACUAACUAGUGUGUUUAAUGUGGGUGAACAUAACAUGUAAUCCGGGCACCUACAUAAACGAACGUGGAGUAAGAAGCAGAAGGACACAUAUCAAACAACAGUGGUUACAGCAAAGCAACAGGAUUCGAGAGGUGCUGUAACAGCCAAUCAGCUACAAGGUGACAUCAUCUUAUGGCAGCUACUGCCAGAUGAAAGGAACCUACUUUCCUAGGUGGAAAAACCACCUAUAACUAUCUUUGGAAGUAGAAGAUAUUCUUCACAUAUGUGGCUAAUUAUUAUUUAAAACCUAAAGUCUAAGUAAAUGCCGCCCAAUAAAAGCAAACACAAUCUCACAACCUUACAAAAAGAAGAGCAACCACAAAAUGGAGUAAGUGCCAGAUAUUAACCUGAAACCUCUUUGAAUUCCAAUGCGGUCUCAUUCUACUUGAGAAGCCAAAGACGAUCAUGCUGGUGAGCUCCUACAUCUAUGUCUCUUCACCAGUAUCAAGUCUACAGAGUCCUUCCCAUUCCGUACUACCCGGCAGAGAAGCACCGUGGAGAAGAACAACACGAGCACAGCACUGAGGAAAGAACUGUGGACCGGAAGUCAGAAAGCCUCAGCUUCUCACCAACUACCUGUCUCUGCUCUGGUCUCAGACUCCUGAGCUGUCGAGUGACUAGCCCGCUUAGAGGUUGGAGAAACAAGAAGAAUGGACACGAUGAAACAUCAUAACUUGGGCUAUGCUUCAAAAGAAUACAGGACAAGAGUAAGUAGCUUCCAUGUCCCUGGAGGCUUCCAUGGCUCGCUGUGAUUACCAUCUAUCUAUCCCGAUAUUUCAUCACUGAUUAGCAAAAUCGAAAUUUAAAAGCAAUACAAGGAGGUUGGAUAUAAAUCGGCAAAAACAAAACCAAACAAAAAACAAAAGGCAAAAAGAACCAAUCAACAAACCAAAAACCAAGGAUUACCAGGAGCACCUGCUCAGAAUGACUCAAAGCAGUGCUCGAAGAUUGUGCUCGUUGCCGGGCCUGGGGGACACACAGGUACUCUGCUCAGAUCCCCUCAGAACCCUCUUCAGGGUAUACCAGCAACCUUCUUUGUAGGGUUGCCCUUGGGCUACUGGAGUCACUUCCAGCUGGAAGGUUGGAGAUUCCAGGAGUUCACAUCUCUGAAGGUGACCAGGAGUUGGCCACUGACUAGUUGAGAGUGUACGAAGCCCAGCUCCUCAGCCUCAAGACUGGAUGAACUCAGAGGUGUAAAUUACGCCCCAGAACUCCCCACAGGAUCAGACUGACUCCAGGAAUUCAUCUAAAAUUGUAUACUUGUCUGUCUGCCUCCUCUUGCCUGUCCUGCUUCCCCACUGCCUUGCUAGUCUGUCCUGGGAGCACUUCCUUAAUAAACCUCUUCCACUUGAAUCUGUGGCUCAGU